rnacentral:rRNA from 1 species
AACGAACGCUGGCGGCAGGCCUAACACAUGCAAGUCGAGCGGACCCUUCGGGGUUAGCGGCGGACGGGUAAGUAACGCGUGGGAAUAUGCCCUUCUCUACGGAAUAGUCCUGGGAAACUGGGGGUAAUACCGUAUACGCCCUUUGGGGGAAAGAUUUAUCGGGGAAGGAUUAGCCCGCGUUGGAUUAGGUAGUUGGUGGGGUAAUGGCCUACCAAGCCGACGAUCCAUAGCUGGUUUGAGAGGAUGAUCAGCCACACUGGGACUGAGACACGGCCCAGACUCCUACGGGAGGCAGCAGUGGGGAAUCUUAGACAAUGGGGGCAACCCUGAUCUAGCCAUGCCGCGUGAGUGAUGAAGGCCUUAGGGUUGUAAAGCUCUUUCAGCUGGGAAGAUAAUGACGGUACCAGCAGAAGAAGCCCCGGCUAACUCCGUG